rnacentral:rRNA from 1 species
GACGUAGGGCGCGAGCGUUGUCCGGAUUUAUUGGGUUUAAAGGGUGCGUAGGCGGCCCAUUAAGUCAGUGGUGAAAGCCCGGGGCUCAACCCCGGAACCGCCAUUGAUACUGGUGGGCUUGAGUAUGGACGAGGUUGGCGGAAUUGAGGGUGUAGCGGUGAAAUGCUUAGAUACCCUCAAGAACACCGAAUUGCGUAGGCAGCUAACUAGGCCAUAACUGACGCUGAAGGCACGAAAGCGUGGGGAGCGAACAGGG